CAGGCGCGAAAACUUUACAAUGCAGGAAACUGUGAUAAGGGAACCCCGAGUGCCUGUAUGGACAGGCUGUUCAGGUGCGUAAAAAACACCUGGAGAAAGGGCCGGGCAAGACCGGUGCCAGCCGCCGCGGUAAUACCGGCGGCUCGAGUGGUGGCCACUAUUACUGGGCUUAAAGCGUCCGUAGCUGGGUAGUUAAGUCUCUGGGGAAAUCUUCCGGCUCAACCGGAAGGCGUCUCAGGGAUACUGGUUACCUUGGGAUCGGGAGAGGUGAGAGGUACUCUGGGGGUAGGAGUGAAAUCCUGUUAUCCUCAGGGGACCACCUGUGGCGAAGGCGUCUCACCAGAACGACUCCGACAGUGAGGGACGAAAGCUGGGGGAGCAAACCGGAUUAGAUACCCGGGUAGUCCCAGCCGUAAACUAUGCGCGUUAGGUGUAUCAGUGGCCACGAGCUACUGAGGUGCCGAAGGGAAACCGUGAAACGCGCCGCCUGGGAAGUACGG
rnacentral:rRNA from 1 species